AGCGAACAGACGAGGAGCUUGCUCCUCUGACGUUAGCGGCGGACGGGUGAGUAACACGUGGAUAACCUACCUAUAAGACUGGGAUAACUUCGGGAAACCGGAGCUAAUACCGGAUAACAUGUUGAACCGCAUGGUUCAACAGUGAAAGACGGUCUUGCUGUCACUUAUAGAUGGAUCCGCGCCGCAUUAGCUAGUUGGUAAGGUAACGGCUUACCAAGGCAACGAUGCGUAGCCGACCUGAGAGGGUGAUCGGCCACACUGGAACUGAGACACGGUCCAGACUCCUACGGGAGGCAGCAGUAGGGAAUCUUCCGCAAUGGGCGAAAGCCUGACGGAGCAACGCCGCGUGAGUGAAGAAGGUCUUCGGAUCGUAAAACUCUGUUAUUAGGGAAGAACAAAUGUGUAAGUAACUAUGCACGUCUUGACGGUACCUAAUCAGAAAGCCACGGCUAACUACGUGCCAGCAGCCGCGGUAAUACGUAGGUGGCAAGCGUUAUCCGGAAUUAUUGGGCGUAAAGCGCGCGUAGGCGGUUUUUUAAGUCUGAUGUGAAAGCCCACGGCUCAACCGUGGAGGGUCAUUGGAAACUGGAAAACUUGAGUGCAGAAGAGGAAAGUGGAAUUCCAUGUGUAGCGGUGAAAUGCGCAGAGAUAUGGAGGAACACCAGUGGCGAAGGCGACUUUCUGGUCUGUAACUGACGCUGAUGUGCGAAAGCGUGGGGAUCAAACAGGAUUAGAUACCC
rnacentral:rRNA from 1 species